rnacentral:rRNA from 1 species
UACGUAGGGGGCUAGCGUUGUCCGGAAUCAUUGGGCGUAAAGCGCGUGUAGGCGGCCCGGUAAGUCCGCUGUGAAAGUCCAGGGCUCAACCCUGGGAUGCCGGUGGAUACUGUCGGGCUCGAGUCCGGAAGAGGAGUGUGGAAUUCCUGGUGUAGCGGUGAAAUGCGCAGAUAUCAGGAGGAACACCAAUGGCGAAGGCAGCACUCUGGGACGUUACUGACGACUGAGGCGCGAAAGCGUGGGGAGCGAACAGG